rnacentral:rRNA from 1 species
GACGAACGCUGGCGGCGUGCUUAACACAUGCAAGUCGAGCGGUAAGGCCCUUUCGGGGUACGACGAGCGGCGAACGGGUGAGUAACACGUGGGUGACCUGCCCUCAGCUCUGGGAUAAGCCCGGGAAACUGGGUCUAAUACCGGAUAUGACUUCAUGACGCAUGUUGUGGAGUGGAAAGCCUUGUGCGGCUGAGGAUGGGCCCGCGGCCUAUCAGCUUGUUGGUGGGGNGANGGCCUACCAAGGCGACGACGGGUAGCCGGCCUGAGAGGGCGACCGGCCACAC